GGGGCUAUAGCUCAGCUGGGAGAGCGCUUGCAUGGCAUGUCAAGAGGUCAGCGGUUCGAUCCCGCUUAGCUCCACCA
rnacentral:tRNA from 1 species